CUCCGUGCAUAGACGAAGAGUGGGCGAGGGAGAGUGCGAUCCUUCAAGAGAGAACUAGGAACCCUAAUUCCUUUCUUCUUCAAUUUUUUUUUUUGUUUUUCUUGAAUUAAUCCCUAGAACCGAGAAUGAAGGGAGUUGAGAGGCACACCCAAACCUUCUUUCGCGAGUGAAAAUCACCAGCGCCAGUACUCAGAUAACUUCCUCGAUGGCUCUUCCAAUGGCAACAGGUGGCUCCAAUCGGCUGGCCUCCAACACCUUCAAUCCUCCAUCAAUCAACUUCCUCCGCUUCAGACUAUAACUGGAAGAAUGUACUGGAACGCGUAGAGGAGCUUUAACGGAGGGACCUGCCCAGGCAAAGAGGAGUAGG
rnacentral:sRNA from 1 species